GACGAACGCUGGCGGCGUGCCUAAUACAUGCAAGUCGAACGAGAGCGACCGGUGCUUGCACUGGUCAAUCUAGUGGCGAACGGGUGAGUAACACGUGGGUAACCUGCCCAUCAGAGGGGGAUAACAUCCGGAAACGGAUGCUAAAACCGCAUAGGUCUUCGAGCCGCAUGGCUUGAAGAGGAAAAGAGGCGCAAGCUUCUGCUGAUGGAUGGACCCGCGGUGCAUUAGCUAGUUGGUGAGGUAACGGCUCACCAAGGCCGUGAUGCAUAGCCGACCUGAGAGGGUGAUCGGCCACAUUGGGACUGAGACACGGCCCAAACUCCUACGGGAGGCAGCAGUAGGGAAUCUUCCGCAAUGGACGCAAGUCUGACGGAGCAACGCCGCGUGAGUGAAGAAGGUUUUCGGAACGUAAAACUCUGUUGUUAGAGAAGAACAAGUGCUAGAGUAACUGUUAGCGCCUUGACGGUAUCUAACCAGAAAGCCACGGCUAACUACGUG
rnacentral:rRNA from 1 species